AGCGAACGCUGGCGGCAGGCUUAACACAUGCAAGUCGAGCGGGCGUAGCAAUACGUCAGCGGCAGACGGGUGAGUAACGCGUGGGAACGUACCUUUUGGUUCGGAACAACACAGGGAAACUUGUGCUAAUACCGGAUAAGCCCUUACGGGGAAAGAUUUAUCGCCGAAAGAUCGGCCCGCGUCUGACUAGCUAGUUGGUGUGGUAACGGCGCACCAAGGCGACGAUCAGUAGCUGGCUGAGAGGAUGAUCAGCCACAUUGGGACUGAGACACGGCCCAAACUCCUACGGGAGGCAGCAGUGGGGAAUAUUGGACAAUGGGCGCAAGCCUGAUCCAGCCAUGCCGCGUGAGUGAUGAAGGCCCUAGGGUUGUAAAGCUCUUUGUGCGGGAAGAUAAUGACGGUACCGCAAGAAUAA
rnacentral:rRNA from 1 species